UGGGGAAUUUUGGACAAUGGGCGAAAGCCUGAUCCAGCAAUGCCGCGUGUGUGAAGAAGGCCUUCGGGUUGUAAAGCACUUUUGUCCGGAAAGAAAUCCUUGGCUCUAAUACAGUCGGGGGAUGACGGUACCGGAAGAAUAAGCACCGGCUAACUACGUGCCAGCAGCCGCGGUAAUACGUAGGGUGCAAGCGUUAAUCGGAAUUACUGGGCGUAAAGCGUGCGCAGGCGGUUUGCUAAGACCGAUGUGAAAUCCCCGGGCUCAACCUGGGAACUGCAUUGGUGACUGGCAGGCUAGAGUAUGGCAGAGGGGGGUAGAAUUCCACGUGUAGCAGUGAAACGCGUAGAGAUGUGGAGGAAUACCGAUGGCGAAGGCAGCCCCCUGGGCCAAUACUGACGCUCAUGCACGAAAGCGUGGGGAGCAAACAGGAUUAGAUACCCUGGUAGUCCACGCCCUAAAACGAUGUCAACUAGUUGUUGGGGAUUCAUUUCCUUAGUAACGUAGCUAACGCGUGAAGUUGACCGCCUGGGGAGUACGGUCG
rnacentral:rRNA from 1 species